AGAGUUUGAUCCUGGCUCAGGAUGAACGCUAGCGGCAGGCUUAACACAUGCAAGUCGAGGGGCAGCGGGGAGGAAGCUGCUUUCUCCGCCGGCGACCGGCGCACGGGUGAGUAACACGUAUGCAACCUGCCCCUGUCAGGGGGACAACCCGCCGAAAGGCAGGCUAAACCCGCGUACAUGCCACCGGGGCAUCCCGGAGGCAGGAAAGGCUUCGGCCGGACAGGGAUGGGCAUGCGGCGCAUUAGGCAGUAGGCGGGGUAACGGCCCACCUAACCGACGAUGCGUAGGGGUUCUGAGAGGAAGGUCCCCCACACUGGUACUGAGACACGGACCAGACUCCUACGGGAGGCAGCAGUGAGGAAUAUUGGUCAAUGGUCGGGAGACUGAACCAGCCAAGCCGCGUGAGGGAGGAAGGUACAGAGUAUCGUAAACCUCUUUUGUCAGGGAACAAAGGCGGGGACGUGUCCCCGGAUGAGUGUACCUGAAGAAAAAGCAUCGGCUAACUCCGUGCCAGCAGCCGCGGUAAUACGGAGGAUGCGAGCGUUAUCCGGAUUUAUUGGGUUUAAAGGGUGCGCAGGCGGUCUGUUAAGUCAGCGGUCAAAGCCCGGGGCUCAACCCCGGCCCGCCGUUGAAACUGGCAGUCUCGAGUUGGAGAGAAGUAUGCGGAAUGCGCGGUGUAGCGGUGAAAUGCAUAGAUAUCGCGCAGAACUCCGAUUGCGAAGGCAGCAUGCCGGCUCCACACUGACGCUGAGGCACGAAAGCGUGGGUAUCGAACAGGAUUAGAUACCCUGGUAGUCCACGCAGUAAACGAUGAAUGCUGGCUGUCCGGGGGGAUUGACCCCUGGGUGGCGAAGCGAAAGCGAUAAGCAUUCCACCUGGGGAGUACGCCGGCAACGGUGAAACUCAAAGGAAUUGACGGGGGCCCGCACAAGCGGAGGAACAUGUGGUUUAAUUCGAUGAUACGCGAGGAACCUUACCCGGGCUCAAACGGGGAGUGACUCAGGCAGAGACGCCUGUUUCCCACGGGACACUCCCCGAGGUGCUGCAUGGUUGUCGUCAGCUCGUGCCGUGAGGUGUCGGCUUAAGUGCCAUAACGAGCGCAACCCCCGCGUGCAGUUGCUAACAGAUAACGCUGAGGACUCUGCACGGACUGCCGGCGCAAGCCGCGAGGAAGGCGGGGAUGACGUCAAAUCAGCACGGCCCUUACGUCCGGGGCGACACACGUGUUACAAUGGGUGGUACAGCGGGAAGCCAGGCGGCGACGCCGAGCGGAACCCGAAAUCCACUCUCAGUUCGGUUCGGAGUCUGCAACCCGACUCCGUGAAGCUGGAUUCGCUAGUAAUCGCGCAUCAGCCAUGGCGCGGUGAAUACGUUCCCGGGCCUUGCACACAACGCCCGUCA
rnacentral:rRNA from 1 species